rnacentral:rRNA from 1 species
AUGAACGCUAGCUACAGGCUUAACACAUGCAAGUCGAGGGGCAGCAUGGUCUUAGCUUGCUAAGGCCGAUGGCGACCGGCGCACGGGUGAGUAACACGUAUCCAACCUGCCGUCUACUCUUGGACAGCCUUCUGAAAGGAAGAUUAAUACAAGAUGGCAUCAUGAGUCCGCAUGUUCACAUGAUUAAAGGUAUUCCGGUAGACGAUGGGGAUGCGUUCCAUUAGAUAGUAGGCGGGGUAACGGCCCACCUAGUCUUCGAUGGAUAGGGGUUCUGAGAGGAAGGUCCCCCACAUUGGAACUGAGACACGGUCCAAACUCCUACGGGAGGCAGCAGUGAGGAAUAUUGGUCAAUGGGCGAGAGCCUGAACCAGCCAAGUAGCGUGAAGGAUGACUGCCCUAUGGGUUGUAAACUUCUUUUAUAAAGGAAUAAAGUCGGGUAUGGAUACCCGUUUGCAUGUACUUUAUGAAUAAGGAUCGGCUAACUCCGUGCCAGCAGCCGCGGUAAUACGGAGGAUCCGAGCGUUAUCCGGAUUUAUUGGGUUUAAAGGGAGCGUAGAUGGAUGUUUAAGUCAGUUGUGAAAGUUUGCGGCUCAACCGUAAAAUUGCAGUUGAUACUGGAUAUCUUGAGUGCAGUUGAGGCAGGCGGAAUUCGUGGUGUAGCGGUGAAAUGCUUAGAUAUCACGAAGAACUCCGAUUGCGAAGGCAGCCUGCUAAGCUGCAACUGACAUUGAGGCUCGAAAGUGUGGGUAUCAAACAGGAUUAGAUACCCUGGUAGUCCACACGGUAAACGAUGAAUACUCGCUGUUUGCGAUAUACUGCAAGCGGCCAAGCGAAAGCGUUAAGUAUUCCACCUGGGGAGUACGCCGGCAACGGUGAAACUCAAAGGAAUUGACGGGGGCCCGCACAAGCGGAGGAACAUGUGGUUUAAUUCGAUGAUACGCGAGGAACCUUACCCGGGCUUAAAUUGCAGAUGAAUUACGGUGAAAGCCGUAAGCCGCAAGGCAUCUGUGAAGGUGCUGCAUGGUUGUCGUCAGCUCGUGUCGUGAGAUGUUGGGUUAAGUCCCGCAACGAGCGCAACCCUUGUUGUCAGUUACUAACAGGUUCCGCUGAGGACUCUGACAAGACUGCCAUCGUAAGAUGUGAGGAAGGUGGGGAUGACGUCAAAUCAGCACGGCCCUUACGUCCGGGGCUACACACGUGUUACAAUGGGGGGUACAGAGGGCCGCUACCACGCGAGUGGAUGCCAAUCCCCAAAACCUCUCUCAGUUCGGACUGGAGUCUGCAACCCGACUCCACGAAGCUGGAUUCGCUAGUAAUCGCGCAUCAGCCACGGCGCGGUGAAUACGUUCCCGGGCCUUGUACACACCGCCCGUCAAGCCAUGGGAGCCGGGGGUACCUGAAGUGCGUAACCGCGAGGAGCGCCCUAGGGUAAAACUGGUGACUGGGGCU